AAUCCAUAGGUUAAUGAGGCGAACCGGGGGAACUGAAACAUCUAAGUACCCCGAGGAAAAGAAAUCAACCGAGAUUCCCCCAGUAGCGGCGAGCGAACGGGGAGCAGCCCAGAGCCUGAAUCAGUAUGUGUGUUAGUGGAAGCGUCUGGAAAGGCGCGCGAUACAGGGUGACAGCCCCGUACACAAAAAUGCACAUGCUGUGAGCUCGAUGAGUAGGGCGGGACACGUGGUAUCCUGUCUGAAUAUGGGGGGACCAUCCUCCAAGGCUAAAUACUCCUGACUGACCGAUAGUGAACCAGUACCGUGAGGGAAAGGCGAAAAGAACCCCGGCGAGGGGAGUGAAAAAGAACCUGAAACCGUGUACGUACAAGCAGUGGGAGCACGCUUAGGCGUGUGACUGCGUACCUUUUGUAUAAUGGGUCAGCGACUUAUAUUCUGUAGCAAGGUUAACCGAAUAGGGGAGCCGAAGGGAAACCGAGUCUUAACUGGGCGUUAAGUUGCAGGGUAUAGACCCGAAACCCGGUGAUCUAGCCAUGGGCAGGUUGAAGGUUGGGUAACACUAACUGGAGGACCGAACCGACUAAUGUUGAAAAAUUAGCGGAUGACUUGUGGCUGGGGGUGAAAGGCCAAUCAAACCGGGAGAUAGCUGGUUCUCCCCGAAAGCUAUUUAGGUAGCGCCUCGUGAAUUCAUCUCCGGGGGUAGAGCACUGUUUCGGCAAGGGGGUCAUCCCGACUUACCAACCCGAUGCAAACUGCGAAUACCGGAGAAUGUUAUCACGGGAGACACACGGCGGGUGCUAACGUCCGUCGUGAAGAGGGAAACAACCCAGACCGCCAGCUAAGGUCCCAAAGUCAUGGUUAAGUGGGAAACGAUGUGGGAAGGCCCAGACAGCCAGGAUGUUGGCUUAGAAGCAGCCAUCAUUUAAAGAAAGCGUAAUAGCUCACUGGUCGAGUCGGCCUGCGCGGAAGAUGUAACGGGGCUAAACCAUGCACCGAAGCUGCGGCAGCGACGCUGAUGCGUUGUUGGGUAGGGGAGCGUUCUGUAAGCCUGCGAAGGUGUGCUGUGAGGCAUGCUGGAGGUAUCAGAAGUGCGAAUGCUGACAUAAGUAACGAUAAAGCGGGUGAAAAGCCCGCUCGCCGGAAGACCAAGGGUUCCUGUCCAACGUUAAUCGGGGCAGGGUGAGUCGACCCCUAAGGCGAGGCCGAAAGGCGUAGUCGAUGGGAAACAGGUUAAUAUUCCUGUACUUGGUGUUACUGCGAAGGGGGGACGGAGAAGGCUAUGUUGGCCGGGCGACGGUUGUCCCGGUUUAAGCGUGUAGGCUGGUUUUCCAGGCAAAUCCGGAAAAUCAAGGCUGAGGCGUGAUGACGAGGCACUGCGGUGCUGAAGCAACAAAUGCCCUGCUUCCAGGAAAAGCCUCUAAGCAUCAGGUAACAUCAAAUCGUACCCCAAACCGACACAGGUGGUCAGGUAGAGAAUACCAAGGCGCUUGAGAGAACUCGGGUGAAGGAACUAGGCAAAAUGGUGCCGUAACUUCGGGAGAAGGCACGCUGAUAUGUAGGUGAAGUCCCUCGCGGAUGGAGCUGAAAUCAGUCGAAGAUACCAGCUGGCUGCAACUGUUUAUUAAAAACACAGCACUGUGCAAACACGAAAGUGGACGUAUACGGUGUGACGCCUGCCCGGUGCCGGAAGGUUAAUUGAUGGGGU
rnacentral:rRNA from 1 species